AAGUGAGAGCUUAGCAGAAACACUCAUUAAUAUAUUUAUGUGCACUUUUCUUUUCUCUCUAAUUUCACGCCUUUAAAACUUUUCCCAUCAACAUCAACCCUGAGAGUUUCUAAGUAUUUUCUCCCACCCGAUGUGCACACUUUAGAAAGAGUAAUUAGCAAAAAAAAUAGAUUAAAAAGAAAAAAUCCAAAUCGAGUUUCAACACUUAACAACAGGCAUAAGCCCAUGCACUGCACUACAGGGCAAUAUUUCAUUCUUUUUUUCCUUUCUUGAAAAUAACCAAAGUGUGACCAUCACAAAUCUCCAUGCCACCAGACAUAAAAGGAAACUGCUCUCUCUGGAAGCCAAUCCCUAUGGCUCCAUGAGGAUCCUCGUGCAACACACGCGCCCCAAAUGUGAAAUACUUUACCUGUAGCAUCAGCCGGAAAACGCAGCUGGUACUCAAAACCAGAGCUUAAAAAUAAGCUUUGUUAUUGAGUAUUUAGCUCAUCAUGAACAUGAGUAUGUCCUCAUGUGACUGAUAAAUCACUGCUGGGAGACACAAAGUAGGGCAGUAUUUCACAGAGCCCAGCAAGGACCCAACAGCUUCAGGAGCUGUGUGAGGAUGAGCAGCACAGAUCUGAUGUAAAGGCAGUGAGGAGUUCUGCCUUGCAUGGGAUACAGCUUUCUAAGCUCAGAAAAUUUAACACAGCACAAAGUCAACUCCAAUAUUUCACUUCCUGGCAAGACGCUUUCCCCCACCACAAACAGGAGGGAAUACGCUAUUAAAUCUGACAGCAUUGCGAGGAAAAAAUAGCAAAUACCGAGAGCUACUUUUCACAGCUCAGGGAAAGAAGAAGGAGGGUCUCAGGUCCAAAGGCCAGCAUUCAAAUCCUGAAGCCAAGGAAAAUAACAUCAUAUAUAUGAGUGAUAUGGAAAAGAGGCUCUCUAGAGCUCACAACUGCAAUGUGUUUCAUCAUGGAAGGUGGGAAAAGCAGUAUUCACCAUUACCAGUUUCAAUGACUGGGAGCUGAACUGGUUUUCAUGAAGAACUAGGCACCAUUUGGGACUGAAAGACAUUUCUUUGCAUUUGUUUUCCAGUAGGUAUUUAAGAUAUCUCAGGCCAACACCUUCUCAAUGCAUUUUAAGGAUAUCUUAAUAUUAUUAUUAUUUUUAAUAUAGCAGUACAGAAGGACAAUACUUUAAUAAUAUACCAGUAACAAACAAAUAUCACUACAGGACGUCAAGUCAUUCACAAGGGCUUUUUUGUAUCUUAACCAAUAAGAGGAAGAAGCACAAAUCCACAUGUAUGCUCUAUUCAUCAUUGCCACAAGCACACUGUAAGUUCUACACCACACCAAAUCAUACCUCUACAAACUUCCU
rnacentral:lncRNA from 1 species